rnacentral:rRNA from 1 species
UACGGGGGGGGCGAGCGUUGUUCGGAAUUACUGGGCGUAAAGGGUGCGUAGGCGGCUCUCUAAGUCGGAUGUGAAAACUCUGGGCUCAACCCAGAGCCUGCAUCUGAAACUGGAGGGCUAGGGUUUUGGAGGGGAAAGCGGAAUUCCAGGUGUAGCGGUGAAAUGCGUAGAUAUCAGGAGGAACACCAAUGGCGAAGGCAGCUCGCUGGGACGGUACUGACGCUGAGACGCGAAAGCGUGGGGAGCAAACAGG